UACGUAGGGUGCGAGCGUUGUCCGGAAUUAUUGGGCGUAAAGAGCUCGUAGGCGGUCUGUCGCGUCGGUCGUGAAAACUUGGGGCUUAACCCUGAGCUUGCGGUCGAUACGGGCAUGACUGGAGUUCGGCAGGGGAGUCUGGAAUUCCUGGUGUAGCGGUGAAAUGCGCAGAUAUCAGGAGGAACACCGGUGGCGAAGGCGGGUCUCUGGGCCGAUACUGACGCUGAGGAGCGAAAGCGUGGGGAGCGAACAGG
rnacentral:rRNA from 1 species